rnacentral:lncRNA from 1 species
CAAGCAAACAACAAGAAAAAAAGGCAAAGCAAAACAGAGCAACCAGAUUGCAGCUCAGAAAUAACACCAACUCAUUUUGCUUAUUAUGUUUCCUUCCUGCUAUCUUUUUAACAGUCCUGCUCAACACUCAGUCCCAUCUCUCCUUGUGAACGUUCUUAAAUUAUCCUGCUGUGAUUUCAUUUGAGAGUGUAGGCCUACGUUUCACAGUGACGAGAGAUAAACUGUAAUUAACAACAUGCUGAAUUUGGAUACAAUUGGAAUGAACUGCUUAUAAGAAAAAAAGGAGGAGAUACAUAAAACUAUAAAGCUUAUUAACAUCAAACUAUAACUUCUGCACAUCGUGUGACUCCUUAAAUCAGAGAAUCAGCAACAAGAUACCCAGUAACAUGAAUGUUGCUGGAAAUUACAUUAAAAAGCACAAAGCGAAUACAGUGAAUGCCAUUUUAUUUCAUAAAUUCUGGUAUUUCUUUUAAUUUAAAACCAACCACUGGAGCCUGACUUUGCAAAAGGCUUUCACUCUUUUCAGCCUUCCUGCCUAGGAAAGUUUGUCAGCCAGCCACUACCUCUGCCUCCUUGGUGUUAUUUAUGAUCUGAGGGGUAUGUGGGUGAGCUUGGUUUACUCAGUGACAAGAAGACUUAAGGCUAAGUCUGAUUUUAACUGUUUUAAAGUAAAUCUUCCAUAGGAGAGGUGCAAUCCUUAGUAGAUUGCAAAAAGAUAGAUAUAACUGAUGAGAUGUAAAACCAAGGUUGAAUGGAGGAACGCCCAGAGACCUGAUUCCCUGUAGGUUGUGGAGUAAAGCUGUCCAGGUAGGUCUUGAAUUUUUCAAGAGAAGGAGAGAUUCCAUCUCCAUGGGAAGCUUGUUCCAUUGCUCUGUCACAUUCAAAGUGAAGCUCGUCCGUAUAUUAGGCUGCUUAUUAGUCCCAGUGUACCCUCUAAGUGGUUGUUCAGAUAUUAAACAUUCCCUCUGUCAGGGUACAUAAACAAUGAGGACAUUUGAUAG